UACGAAGGGGGCUAGCGUUGCUCGGAAUUACUGGGCGUAAAGCGCACGUAGGCGGUCUUUUAAGUCGGGGGUGAAAUCCUGGAGCUCAACUCCAGAACUGCCUUCGAUACUGGAAGACUCGAGUCCGGGAGAGGUGAGUGGAACUGCGAGUGUAGAGGUGAAAUUCGUAGAUAUUAGGAAGAACACCAGUGGCGAAGGCGGCUCACUGGAUCGGUACUGACGCUGAGGUGCGAAAGCGUGGGGAGCAAACAGG
rnacentral:rRNA from 1 species